UAAUGAAAAUGUCUUCCUUCACACAGACCACAAUUAUUUGGGACGCACAUACGGGAGAGGCCAAACAACAAUUUCCUUUCCACUCAGCACCGGCUCUGGAUGUGGACUGGCAGAGCAACAACACGUUCGC